rnacentral:lncRNA from 1 species
GAGCCUCUCCCGCUAUAAAUAACCGACCAAACCUCCCAACAUAAACCCACAGCUUGUCUUGCACACGCAGCACAGAAUAGCAUAGGAGAAGAGAGGCAACACCUUGAGCUUAAUUAGUUGAUCCGAAAGCUAGUACGACCACACCUCACCAUGUCCAAGAAGGUCUUGGUGGUCAUGGUCUUGGCUCUCAUGGCCAUGGCCGGCUCGUGGACCCGGGCGGCAGCCAGGCCAUUGCCAGGUGACGGGUCGCACGCCGAGGAGCCCGCCUCUACGGGCCCCGUCCGCACCGUGCUGCCUGGACCGACGUCGCAGUGGCGAGGGCACAUGCUUCUGUCGUUCGAGAAGAAGACGAUGGCGGGCGCAUCUUGUGGACCCGGAAGUACCCAUGAUAAGAAUAACGCACCCUGCCCCCCGUCGAGAUGAAUACACACGUUGCAGCAAAUUCUUGUGUCUUUGCAUGGAGCCAAACUGAAGCUAUACUCGAUUCGUAGUGAUGUAACAUGAUGAACGAUCGUUAGGGUUUACAAGUCCCUGUUUAUUAAUUUCUUGCAAAAUAAUGUAUUUUCCCUUUCAUUUUAGUUGGAGACCGAACCUGAAGAUAUGUGGUAAUAAUCCUGUUCCUAGAUUAACGUACUUAUUUGCAAUGAUCAAAGCGACAAGCAUUGGUUAAAAGCAACCUUAUCUCUACUAAUAAAAGCAUGAGAGGGCAGAUUCAACUCACCAUCUCAGCCGUCUAAUCACUUAAUCAACGAUCAUAAAGCAUCGUUAAUGAAAUUGUUGGCCUCGCUAACGAAACCCC